rnacentral:ncRNA from 2 species
CUCUUAUUGAGAGUGGCUGAGGGACUGGCCCUGUGACGCCCGGCAACCGUUCAUCGUAAUUCCAGUGAUGAAUAGGUGCUAAAUCCUGCAAAAUACGGACAGUAUUUUGAGAAAUAAGAG